UUCUCGUAGCAUGCUAUGAGAACGAUUAGUGGCAGACGGGUGAGUAAUGCAUAGGAAUCUACCUAGUAGUAUAGGAUAGCCACUAGAAAUGGUGGGUAAUACUGUAUAAUCCCUGCGGGGGAAAGAUUUAUCGCUACAUGAUGAGCCUAUGUUAGAUUAGCUAGUUGGUGGGGUAAUGGCCUACCAAGGCAGUGAUCUAUAGCUGGUCUGAGAGGAUGAUCAGCCACACUGGAACUGAGACACGGUCCAGACUCCUACGGGAGGCAGCAGUGGGGAAUAUUGGACAAUGGGCGCAAGCCUGAUCCAGCUAUGCCGCGUGAGUGAGGAAGGCCUUAGGGUUGUAAAACUCUUUCAGUGGGGAAGAUAAUGACGGUACCCACAGAAGAAGUCCCGGCAAACUCCGUGCCAGCAGCCGCGGUAAUACGGAGGGGGCAAGCGUUGUUCGGAAUUAUUGGGCGUAAAGGGCAUGUAGGUGGUUUGGUAAGUUAAAGGUGAAAUGCCAGG
rnacentral:rRNA from 1 species